rnacentral:rRNA from 1 species
UACGUAGGGUGCGAGCGUUGUCCGGAUUUAUUGGGUUUAAAGGGUGCGUAGGCGGCUUUUUUAAGUCAGUGGUGAAAGACAACAGCUCAACUGUUGCAGUGCCAUUGAUACUGAAGAGCUUGAGUACAGAUGAGGUAGGCGGAAUUUUAUGGUGUAGCGGUGAAAUGCAUAGAUACCAUAAAGAACACCUAUUGCGAAGGCAGCUUACUAAGCUGUAACUGACGCUGAGGCACGAAAGUGUGGGGAUCAAACAGGG